rnacentral:rRNA from 1 species
GGUUGAUCCUGCCAGUAGUCAUAUGCUUGUCUCAAAGAUUAAGCCAUGCAUGUCUAAGUAUAAACACUUGUACUGUGAAACUGCGAAUGGCUCAUUAAAUCAGUUAUAGUUUAUUUGAUAGUCUCUUACUACAUGGAUAACCGUGGUAAAUCCUAGAGCUAAUACAUGCACAAAAGCCCGACUUCUGGAAGGGCUGUAUUUAUUAGAUAAAAAACCGAUAUAUUGGUGAUUCAUAAUAACUCUUCGAAUCGCAUGGCCUUGUGCCGGCGAUGUUUCAUUCAAAUUUCUGCC